rnacentral:rRNA from 1 species
UACGUAGGGUGCAAGCGUUGUCCGGAAUUAUUGGGCGUAAAGAGCUCGUAGGCGGUUUGUCGCGUCGUAUGUGAAAACCCGGGGCUCAACCCCGGGCCUGCAUUCGAUACGGGCAGACUAGAGUUCGGUAGGGGAGUCUGGAAUUCCUGGUGUAGCGGUGAAAUGCGCAGAUAUCAGGAGGAACACCAGCGGCGAAGGCGGCGCUCUGGGCCGGAACUGACGCUGAGGAGCGAAAGCGUGGGUAGCAAACAGG